UAGCUUUAAGAUUUAUAUUUAAAGUUUUACCUGCCCGGUGGAACUUCUUAACGGCCGCAGUACUUUGACUGUGCUAAGGUAGCAUAAUAAAUUGGCUUUUAAUUAAAGUCGGGUAUGAAAGGGAUUUUGGAAAGUAACUGUCUCUAGAAUAUUUUAUUUUAAUUUAAUUAAUGAGUGAAAAUUCUCAUAUUUGUUACAUUAGACGAGAAGACCCUAAGAGUUAUUAUUAAAAUGGAUUUAUUUCAUAUAUCAUUUUUGUUGGGGCAACAAAGACUGGAUAAAACCGUCAUAAAGUAAUUUUAACAUAACCAAUAAUAUUUAAAAAGAAAUAAACUACCUUAGGGAUAACAGCAUAAUUAAUUUUUAGAUUGUGACCUCGAUGUUGGAUUAAGGACUUAGUUUACUAGCCGUAAACUAAGAUAGUUCUGUUCGAACUGUAGUACCUU
rnacentral:rRNA from 1 species